rnacentral:lncRNA from 1 species
UGUACUUUUCAAAACCAACAAAGCAAUAAUUUGUAAGGCAUGUGAAACGUUUCCUUUUGCAAGCAUGUUAAAGGUACAAAGUCUUUUUAUAUAAAAACAAUGGUCAGUAUGCUUAGUUAGUGUAUAAAACAAGUCGAAACACUUUGUUAUAGGUUAUUGUUAAUAGUUGUAUUCACAGUUUAUUUGUUGAUGUUAUGAAGGUAUUAAGGAUGUACUUAAAAAAACUAGACCUCAAUAUUUAUUCUAUAUGUCUAUGAGUUAUUAGGAACAAAAUAAGAUCUUUGAUUAUUUUUAAAAUGGCGAAAAGGCUAACUCAACACUUUACCUUAUUUUUGCAUUGGUAUUUACUAUUAUUUGGGUCUCAAUUCGAAAGAAAAGAAAUCUUAAUCUGCUUAAAUUUUGGUAAAUGACCUUACAUCAUGUACAUAAGCUAUUGAAGUCUUAUAAACAAAAAAAUGGAUGUUAUAGGGCAAACUAUUUGAACCUGUAUUGAAGGGGAAAAACCAAGGAAUAUGAAUAUCUGACACUUAUUCCUAAAUCUCACUAAGUGCAUCCUUAAAUGCAAAUAAGCAGGUGAUCAGAUGUGUUGGCAUGGAGGGUAAGCUGUUUGUUAGAAUUAAACAGUGAAAAGAUGAUAAAACUAAAGAUUACAAAAUAAGAUAUUUUUGUUGUUGUUUGGAUGCUGUUCGCUUGCAUUAUAAUUAUCAUUAUAGACAUUUAACAAAAAAGAGUCCACAGAAUCUCUUUCCUCUGUGAGAUUUUUUAUUAUUUAUAGAUGCAUACUACAGUUUGUAAUUAUUAUAGUGGACAUAUAUCUAGUGCUACUGUAGAAGGGGACUUUACGUUUGCACUCUGUCUGUCUCUCCAUCUGUCAGUUCUGCAAAUCAGUUUUCCAUAUUGAUCUGAUAUUUAGUAUACUGUUUUAUCAUGACAAGUUACAGAUAACUUUCAAAUUUUGUUGUGGUUUAAUGAUUUUGUGCAGAGUUAUGGUCCUUGGACUUAGAAAAUUCCCUGAAAUGAUCAGUUUUCUGAAUGUUUUCAGUAAUGCUUGAAGAUAUUGAUUUGAUAAUUGGUAUAUAAUUUAAUCAUGACAAGUUGCAGAUCAAGCUCCAAUUUUGUUGUGAUCUGAUUAUUUUGUGCAGAGUAAUGGUCCUUGGACUUUAAAAUUCACUAAAAUAAUCAGUUUUCCACCAUUUUUUCCAUCAUUUUUCCAUCAUUCUUGAAGAUAGUGAUUUAAUAAUUGGUAUAUAUUUAUUUCAUGACAAAUUACAGAUCAUUUUUAAUCAGAUUAUUGUGACAAAAAUGUCGGUUAAUGAUAUGGGGAUGUACGCCCGGCGGGUGGCCGCCAAAUGUUGUUAGUUCAUUUACUAAUGAACCGUUCAACCAAAGCUUUUAAAAUUUUAAUAUGUUGUUACUGACAACAAAAUGGAGGUCAAGUUCAAUAAUGACGAUUUUGACUUUUACAGUUCUUGAGUUAUGGUUCUUGAAAGAUUGAAAAAUGUCAUUUCUAGUCCUGUCCGUGCAUUAACUCAGGAACCGUUUAGCCAAAGCUUUAAAAAUUUUAAUAUGUUGUUACUGACUACAAAAUGGAGGUCAAGUUCAAUAAUGACGAUUUUGACUUUUACGGUUCUGGAGUUAUGGUUCUUGAAAGAUUGAAAAAUGUCGUUUCCAGUCCUGUCCGUGCAUUAACUCAUGAACCGUUUAACCAAAGCUUUUAAAUUUCAAAUAUGUUGUUUGAUGACAAAAUUGAAGUCAAGUUCAAUAAUGGCAAUUUUCACUUUUUCUAUUCAGGAGUUAUGGUUCUUGAAAGAUUGAAAAAUUGUGUAACCAGUCAUGUUGUUGCAUUUACUCAUGAACCAUUCAACCAAAGGUUUUAAAAUUUUAAUAUGUUGUUACUUAUGACAAAAUGGAGGUCAAGUUUGAUAUUGAUGAUUUUCACUUAAUCCGUGAAUCAGUUAUGGUUCUUGU